rnacentral:rRNA from 1 species
GUGGGGAAUAUUGGACAAUGGGCGAAAGCCUGAUCCAGCCAUGCCGCGUGUGUGAAGAAGGUCUUCGGAUUGUAAAGCACUUUAAGUUGGGAGGAAGGGCAGUAAGUUAAUACCUUGCUGUUUUGACGUUACCGACAGAAUAAGCACCGGCUAACUCUGUGCCAGCAGCCGCGGUAAUACAGAGGGUGCAAGCGUUAAUCGGAAUUACUGGGCGUAAAGCGCGCGUAGGUGGUUCGUUAAGUUGGAUGUGAAAGCCCCGGGCUCAACCUGGGAACUGCAUCCAAAACUGGCGAGAUAGAGUACGGUAGAGGGUGGUGGAAUUUCCUGUGUAGCGGUGAAAUGCGUAGAUAUAGGAAGGAACACCAGUGGCGAAGGCGACCACCUGGACUGAUACUGACACUGAGGUGCGAAAGCGUGGGGAGCAAACAGGAUUAGAUACCCGGGUAGUCC